AACGAACGCUGGCGGCAGGCUUAACACAUGCAAGUCGAACGCCCCGCAAGGGGAGUGGCAGACGGGUGAGUAACGCGUGGGAACGUACCCUUCGGUUCGGAACAACCCUGGGAAACUAGGGCUAAUACCGGAUACGUGCGAGAGCAGAAAGGUUUACUGCCGAAGGAUCGGCCCGCGUCUGAUUAGCUAGUUGGUGAGGUAACGGCUCACCAAGGCGACGAUCAGUAGCUGGUCUGAGAGGAUGAUCAGCCACAUUGGGACUGAGACACGGCCCAAACUCCUACGGGAGGCAGCAGUGGGGAAUAUCGGACAAUGGGCGCAAGCCUGAUCCAGCCAUGCCGCGUGAGUGAUGACGGCCUUAGGGUUGUAAAGCUCUUUUACCUGGGAAGAUAAUGACGGUACCAGGAGAAUAAGCCCCGGCUAACUUCGUGCCAGCCGCCGCAGUAAGAC
rnacentral:rRNA from 1 species